rnacentral:rRNA from 1 species
GCAAUGCCGCGUGCAGGAUGAAGGCCUUCGGGUUGUAAACUGCUUUUGUACGGAACGAAAAGGUCUGCCCUAAUACGGUGGGCUCAUGACGGUACCGUAAGAAUAAGCACCGGCUAACUACGUGCCAGCAGCCGCGGUAAUACGUAGGGUGCGAGCGUUAAUCGGAAUUACUGGGCGUAAAGCGUGCGCAGGCGGUUAUAUAAGACAGAUGUGAAAUCCCCGGGCUCAACCUGGGACCUGCAUUUGUGACUGUAUAGCUAGAGUACGGUAGAGGGGGAUGGAAUUCCGCGUGUAGCAGUGAAAUGCGUAGAUAUGCGGAGGAACACCGAUGGCGAAGGCAAUCCCCUGGACCUGUACUGACGCUCAUGCACGAAAGCGUGGGGAGCAAACAGGAUUAGAUACCCUGGUAGUCCACGCCCUAAACGAUGUCAACUGGUUGUUGGGUCUUCACUGACUCAGUAACGAAGCUAACG